rnacentral:rRNA from 1 species
GGAAUCUUCCGCAAUGGGCGAAAGCCUGACGGAGCAACGCCGCGUGAGUGAUGAAGGUUUUCGGAUCGUAAAGCUCUGUUGCCAGGGAAGAACGUCUUGUAGAGUAACUGCUACAAGAGUGACGGUACCUGAGAAGAAAGCCCCGGCUAACUACGUGCCAGCAGCCGCGGUAAUACGUAGGGGGCAAGCGUUGUCCGGAAUUAUUGGGCGUAAAGCGCGCGCAGGCGGCUCUUUAAGUCUGGUGUUUAAUCCCGAGGCUCAACUUCGGGUCGCACUGGAAACUGGGGAGCUUGAGUGCAGAAGAGGAGAGUGGAAUUCCACGUGUAGCGGUGAAAUGCGUAGAUAUGUGGAGGAACACCAGUGGCGAAGGCGACUCUCUGGGCUGUAACUGACGCUGAGGCGCGAAAGCGUGGGGAGCAAACA